rnacentral:rRNA from 1 species
AUGGCGCGCCUCCUCGUUCUCGCCGUCACGGCCACGGUUCUCAUGGCUCAAUCCGGGCAGCCGGCGUCUGCUGCGCGGACGUCGCCGGCGGAGGCCUUCUGGCGCGCCGCCCUGCCCGACGCCACCAUGCCGGACGCCAUCCUCGAGCUCCUGCCCCAGGGUGAUCACCACGCAUCAACGGAACAGGGCGCGUACAUGAAUGCAGAGACCGACACACCGGAAGGCGCGGUCGAGGCCGUGGAGGACAAGGACCCGCCGCCGCCCAUGAACUUCAACUACGACUACGACGACGCCUUGCCCCGGAGCGAAGCCACCAGCGCCCCCUCCCCCGACGUCCUACUAAACCGCGCUGCCGUCGUCACGCCGUCGUCGACGGUGUUCUUCCUCGAGGACGCGGUGCGCGUCGGGGAGAGCCUGCCCUUCCACAGGAUCCAUCGGGCCACCGCCGCCGCCGAGGCGUCGGCAGAGCAGCCGCUGGAGCUGUACACCGUCCGCUCCGUGAGGGCGGUCGAGGGGUCCAGUUUCGUCCUGUGCCGGGGAGAAGCCGGCGAAGGGGCCGUGUACGGGUGCCGCGCCACCGGCCCGGCGAGGGCCUACGUCCUGGCCCUGGCCGGCGAGCGCGGGGACGCGGCGAUGACCGCGGUUGCCGUGUCCCGGUGGGACCCGGAGCACGCCGCCUUCCGGCUCCUCGGCGUGAAGCCCGGCGGCGCGGCGGUCUGCCACGCCGUGCCGGACGCGCAGGUCCUGCCGGCCAUGAACGGGAAGAGUCCCGCCGCCAACUAA